UAGUAUCGGACAAACUUCGGUUCUGGUUCCAGCCCUAAAUUUUGUGCAAUUAUUUAUUAAAAAUAAGCAACGACGUGAGCGAACGACACGACCCACGAACGAAGGCAACGAAAUGGCAACGCGCGGCGGACCAAUAGUCGCGGGCACCGAUGGCACCGACUUCGAGUUCAGGCAGCGCGUAGCUGGCACAUAUCAAAUUAGCCUGCUAAACAAGUCCAGGUUGAAGUACUGCAUAUUCUUUCACGCCCUGCUCUUCUUCGUGAUGCUGGCCAAGCUAACGUCGGACAUCCUUGACCGCCUAGAUAUCUUUGUGCUCGAGAUCGAGGAGCUGGAGGUCCCACCGCCCCUGUGGUGGGAGUACGUGUGGGCCGCGUCGUUGCUCACAUCCUUCCUGGGGCUUUCGGCCGCAAGGGCCAACAAGGUGCGCGAAAUGCAAAAGUAUAUGAUUGCCAUCCUGCUAUUCGCCAUCCUGCCGCUCUUCUACUGCUUCGCCUACUACUUCUCUGACGUGUGGGAGUUCGCCACGCUGGACAAGUCGGUAGAGCUGGACGAGACUGACAUCUUUGUGUGGCGCGGCUAUCCGUACGGUGUGUUCUGGUACGCCUUUUGCUUUGUGGGCUUCCAGGUGCACGGGUUUACGCUGUACUUCGCCUACAAUCUGGUCAAGGCCUGGAAGGCCAGAACUGCCACGCGCAAGUUCCAGUAAUCUAAAUACUCGCCAAACUAGUAAACGCCGGAAAGCAGGGCUAGUUGUAAAUAAUUUGGAAACUUGAAACUAACUCAAAACACUAGUGCACAAAAGCGUAAUGAAACUAUGAUAAAUCUAAAGUUAUGCAGCUGUUAAGGUAUCGCACACUUAGUUAUACAGGAAGGGUAACAUAUGGUCGAAACUAAACGAAGCGGCGACAUAUAUACACACACGCAGCCUUGUGAGGUCAACUAAAGACAAGAAGCAACUGAAGCCACCAAAUUUCCCCGAGUCGGAAUAAAAACUGAAAACCAACCUAGAGAUCACUUCAUUUUUGCUGACUUACAUUUCGACGUGCCUCGUGUUUGUUAGAAACGUUUUAUAUAUAUUUACACAUGAAAAUAUGCGUACAUCAGUCUAUGUUUACGUCCGCGGAUGGUUACUUCCUCGCUUAGUUGAUAAUUAGUUCACUUUUCAACAAAUUUCGAAACCGUUUCAUUUUUGCAAUUACAUUAAUUUUGAAUUUUAUUCAUUGAACUGCACAGUGCCAUGCUGUAAGUCGGGUGGCGAAUGUUUAAAAACUGCCCCAAACUAUUUACAACUUUCUGUCACUGUUUACACACUACUAUAAAUAAGGAUUCAAA
rnacentral:misc_RNA from 1 species